AAAAUUGGAGUCGCUGGUCACGGAAGGUUGGCUGCAGCUGUCAUGGGGGAAGCAGAAGGUAGAAGAAGAAGCUGUGCUGCCUGUCUCCAAAACUAUCACUGGAACCAGGCAAAAGCAAAAGGGCAGGCUGAGGUAGGGGUUUGAAGACUCAGGUUUAUUUGCUUUUUGGUGUAAAGGAUGAAAUCAGCGAGGAAGUAAAGCACAAGACAGCAUCAAGUUCGAGCCACUGUGAUAUUGUAUGAGUGCUCCGCAGAGGGGCAGUGAAGAGGAGGAUCCUGCCAUACAGAGGAAAGAGCUGGGCCCUCAGCACCUGCCAUGCUGAUGACAGAAUCCUGUCUCUGCCUGAUGCUUAGUUCUUCCUCCUUGACUGGUUUCCUAGCUUAACAGACAUUCCAGUCCCUUGAGAAUCAGAGGAAAUGAACGACAGUGCCUGGUGCUUGAGCUUACUAACAGAGUUCCUUUGUCACUGUUAAGACAGCCAUUUAUGCAUGUUCUGGCUGCACACUGAAUGAGUGUUUUGUUUGUGGAGGUGCCAUAUACAAUGAUAACAUAUGAAGCAUAUGAUAAAUGCUUCCUUCCUAUGUUAACUCACAUUGGCCUAUGGGGCCAUAUGCUUAUCAGGGCCAGCACAUGGGCAGACAUGUCACAUUUGCAGGAUUAUUUUGUGUCCUGACUGUAUCUCAUUUUCCUAUCCCAAAAUAGUAAACUGAUACAAGAAGUUUGAGGAGCAGGCUGACAUUCCUGGCAGCCUGUGUGACAUAGGAAGCAGCUGGGAGCCUCGGAUAACAGCUUGAGAUGUGUUGUAAUGGUUUGGUCUGAUUUUUCCCAGGUUUCUUGUGCUUUAGCCAGCAGCUUAAAAGUGAUCUGUGGAAUUGCGUUUAGUCAGCUUUCUCAGACAGCAGAGCCUCCCAGUAUCUCCAGUCAUCUCUCCUAUCUUCUAUGCAUGAAUCAUGGCUACCUAAAGGGUCAUAAUUCACAGUUCCUCUGUCAGGCUGAGUCUCUUAGGGUUUUAUUGCUCUGAAGAGACACCAUGACCAUAACAACUCUUAGGAAGGAAAAUAGUUAAUUGAGGCUCAUGUACAGUUUAGAGGUUUAGUCCAUUAUCAUCAUGGCAGGAAGCACGGUGGUGUGCAGACAGAUAUGGUGCUGGAAAGGCAGCUGCAAGUUCUACAUCUGAACCCAAAGGCAGCAGGAAGUGACAGUGACACUAAGCGUGGCAUCUGGAGCAUCUGAGACCUCAAAGCCUGCCCUCAGUGACACACUUUCUCCAACAAGGCCACACCUCCUGAUAGUGCCACUCCCUGCGGGCCUAUGGGGGCCAUUUUUAUUCAAAAUACCACAUUGUGUAAACUUGUUUGUCACAUUAUGGGGAAGUGAUAUCAGAAUCUAUCAUACCAUAUGUGGGAUAGACUUACUUUUGGUGAUAUCCUACUAACUCAUUAUAUUAAUAACAUCAUGUAAUUUAAAAAUGUUUUAUCUUUUCAUUCUAUUUCUCAUCUCCUUUCAUUUUUCCCUUCUCCAAGCCACUCUUGGCUUUUUUCCCCCUUUCAGGCUGAGAACUCUCCUCCUUCCCUUCACUUUAUCUCAUCUUCCACUAACUGCUUUUCAUUUUUCAUGUUAGUUUCUAUUCUUUAAAAUUUGUAUCUUCUCUCCUUCAUAUUUCUUCUUCCUUCUUUUCUUGCGUAUCCUCCUGCAUUUAUAUCUUCCCCCAAAAAAUAAUUUUUCUUUCUUUUACCUCUGUUCCCUCUCUUCUAUUUUCCUUUAUUCAACUGCUCCAUUUUACUUAGUAGCCCUGGAUCAGAGAGAUCUAGGAGAUAGAUAGGAAGGCCUGUUGGGUCCAAGUUGGUUCUUUAAGUGACCAUUCAUUUUGAAUAAAGUGCAGAGUCUACAGCAGUGGCCACCAUGGAUUUAUAUCUGUAGACAGUGAGUAAAUUCCCUCUGCAGCUGGAACUGUAUAUUUAGACCUUGCCCAAAUUAAAAUUCUAGUUCAUGACUCAUCUGCUCUUGAAAUUAUGAUGGUAGGAAGAUCACAGAGUGUCUUCAAGGCUAGUCUAAUGGUCUUGACAUUUUUGAAGGCCAAUGUCUCCUCUGGGAAACAGCUGAAACUUUUAGACUAUUUUCUCAGAAAAAAAAUUUGUCAUCCCCUGGAAGAUUUGCUCAAAAGUUUGUGGUGUCUAAAAAUGUGGUGUCCAUUUUAUGCUAGGCAUCCCUCCUGGUACCAUUAGCCAUUUGUCUCUGACUCCAGUCCCUGGAAGAUAAGUUUCCAGUAACCCCAACUCAGUGCCCCCCUCCAAGAAAUGUACAGCCAUGAUCAUCUACUUGUUAAGACUAAUUGCUUUUUGGCUUCUGUAACGUACUUGUGCAGACAUUCAGGUUGCCUUGACUUGAUUAGGUAAUCUUGGUAGAGCCAAACAGCUCUUGGCUUGCUUGUGCAGUACUCAAGGUCUUCUUGUGGAUUUUGUCUUUAAAACUCCUUCCCUCACUCCCCUUCCCAUGGCAAUCUGAAAUUUGGCUCAGUGGUUGAUGUCCUGCUAGUGGUAAUCAAUAAAUCUUUUCAUUAUAAUUGCA